GCUUAACUGACCGAGCCACCCAGGUGCCCCAAUAAAGUCUAUUUUAAAAAUAAAAGAAGACCUAAACAAAUGGAACUAUAUAAUUUGUUCAUAGAUGGGAAUACUCAAUAUAGUAAUGAUCCAGGUAACCUGCAAAUACAUUUAUGAUUUCAGAACUAUUCCAAAAAAAGAAAAGAAAAGAAAAAUCCCAAUAGGGUUUUUCAUGGAACUAGUCAAACUGAUUCCAAAUCCACAUGGAAGUGUAAAGGUCCAAGAAGAGCCUAGAAAAUACCAAAAAAAGGAAAAGAAGGAAGGAAGGAAAAACAAGGAUAGAAGGAAAGAAAAGGAAAAAGGGGAAACAAUGAAAGAGAAGAUAGCUAGAAAAAAAGGAAAUACCAUUGUAAAUUGAAACUGCACAGCCAUCAGAUAGGUAAAAUCAAAGUCUGAUAAUAACAGGCUUUGGUGGCAAGGACUCAUAGAAAUUCACAUACUGUGGAUGAGAGCGUAAUUGACACCACCACUUAGGGAGCAAUUUGACAAUAUUUUGAAAAUUCGUAUUCCCUGCCAUCAGCAGUUGUAUACCCUAGAGAAAUUCUCCCAAAUGUGUCCCAGGAGACAUUGUCAAGUCCGUUCAUAGCACAGCUAGUAGAGAAAAAUUGCAUCAACUGUAAUGUCCACCAGGAGGAAAAGAAAAUAUGGAAUGUGCUCCAAUAAAAGGCAACUAGCAAAAAAAAAAAAAAAAAA